rnacentral:rRNA from 1 species
CAGCCGCCGCGGUAAUACGAAGGGUGCAAGCGUUACUCGGAAUUACUGGGCGUAAAGCGUGCGCAGGUGGUGGUUUAAGUCCGAUGUGAAAGCCCUGGGCUCAACCUGGGAAUUGCAGUGGAUACUGGGUCACUAGAGUGUGGUAGAGGAUAGUGGAAUUUCCGGUGUAGCAGUGAAAUGCGUAGAGAUCGGAAGGAACAUCUGUGGCGAAGGCGACUAUCUGGGCCAACACUGACACUGAGGCACGAAAGCGUGGGGAGCAAACAGGAUUAGAUACCCCGGUAGUCCCUGUCUCUUAUAC